rnacentral:rRNA from 1 species
GCGGAAGGAUCAUUGUCGAU